AUUGAACGCUGGCGGCAGGCCUAACACAUGCAAGUCGAGCGGCAGCGGGAAAGUAGCUUGCUACUUUUGCCGGCGAGCGGCGGACGGGUGAGUAAUGCCUGGGAAAUUGCCCAGUCGAGGGGGAUAACAGUUGGAAACGACUGCUAAUACCGCAUACGCCCUACGGGGGAAAGCAGGGGACCUUCGGGCCUUGCGCGAUUGGAUAUGCCCAGGUGGGAUUAGCUAGUUGGUGAGGUAAUGGCUCACCAAGGCGACGAUCCCUAGCUGGUCUGAGAGGAUGAUCAGCCACACUGGAACUGAGACACGGUCCAGACUCCUACGGGAGGCAGCAGUGGGGAAUAUUGCACAAUGGGGGAAACCCUGAUGCAGCCAUGCCGCGUGUGUGAAGAAGGCCUUCGGGUUGUAAAGCACUUUCAGCGAGGAGGAAAGGUUGUUGGCUAAUAUCCAACAGCUGUGACGUUACUCGCAGAAGAAGCACCGGCUAACUCCGUGCCAGCCGCCGCCGUAAUAC
rnacentral:rRNA from 1 species